AAGAGAAUGAUUAAACAAUUAAAAGCUUUCUUUAAUUGAAUAAUUGAAUUUAAUUUUUUAGUGCAAAAGCAAAAAUAAAAAUUAGGGACAAGAAGACCCUAUGAAUUUUUUAUUAAAUUUUAUAAAACUUUAUAUAAAAUUUAAUUUAAUUGGGGUGAUGGAAAAAGAAUAAAUAUCUUUUUUUUUAAAGAAAAUUGGUUCCGUUUUUAGCGAUUAAAUGAAAAAAAUACUCUAGGGAUAACAGCGUAAUAAUUUUGGAUAGUUCAUAUAGAUAAAAUAGUUUGCGACCUCGAUGUUGGAUUAGGAUUCUUUUUUGGUGAAGAAGUUAAAAAAAGAAGUUUGUUCAACUUAUAAUUUCCU
rnacentral:rRNA from 1 species